GACGAACGCUGGCGGCGUGCCUAAUACAUGCAAGUCGAACGCAGUGGGGACGGGUGAGUAACACGUGGGUAACCUCCCAUCAGAGGGGAUAACACUUGGAAACAGGUGCUAAACCGAUACUGAUGGAUGGACCCGCGGUGCAUUAGCUAGUUGGUGAGGUAACGGCUCACCAAGGCCACGAGGCAUAGCCGACCUGAGAGGUUGAUCGGCAAAAUGGGGACGUAGACACGGCCAAAACCCCUACGGGAGGAAGCAGUAGGGAUUCUUCGGCAAUGGACGAAAGUCUGACCGAGCAAGGCCGCGGGAGUGAAGAGGUUUUUCGGAUCGAAAAACUCUUUUGUUAGAGAAGCGGUAUCUAACCAGAAAGCCACGGCUAACUACGUGCCAGCAGCCGCGGUAAUUC
rnacentral:rRNA from 1 species